rnacentral:rRNA from 1 species
GACAGAGGGUGCAAACGUUGUUCGGAAUUACUGGGCGUAAAGCGUGUGUAGGCGGCCAAGCAAGUCGGAUGUGAAAGCCCCGGGCUCAACCCGGGAAGUGCACUCGAUACUGCUAGGCUGGAGUGUGGGAGAGGUUGGUGGAAUUCUCGGUGUAGAGGUGAAAUUCGUAGAUAUCGAGAGGAACACCGGCGGCGAAGGCGGCCAACUGGACCAACACUGACGCUGAGACACGAAAGCGUGGGGAGCGAACAGG